rnacentral:rRNA from 1 species
GAUGAACGCUGGCGGCGUGCCUAAUACAUGCCAGUCGAGCGAACGGACGAGAAGCUUGCUUCUCUGAUGUUAGCGGCGGACGGGUGAGUAACACGUGGAUAACCUACCUAUAAGACUGGGAUAACUUCGGGAAACCGUAGCUAAUACCGGAUAAUAUUUUGAACCGCAUGGUUCAAAAGUGAAAGACGGUCUUGCUGUCACUUAUAGAUGGAUCCGCGCUGCAUUAGCUAGUUGGUAAGGUAACGGCUUACCAAGGCAACGAUGCAUAGCCGACCUGAGAGGGUGAUCGGCCACACUGGAACUGAGACACGGUCCAGACUCCUACGGGAGGCAGCAGUAGGGAAUCUUCCGCAAUGGGCGAAAGCCUGACGGAGCAACGCCGCGUGAGUGAUGAAGGUCUUCGGAUCGUAAAACUCUGUUAUUAGGGAAGAACAUAUGUGUAAGUAACUGUGCACGUCUUGACGGUACCUAAUCAGAAAGCCACGGCUAACUACGUG